rnacentral:rRNA from 1 species
UGGGGAAUUUUCCGCAAUGGGCGAAAGCCUGACGGAGCAACGCCGCGUGAGGGAUGAAGGCCUCUGGGCUGUAAACCUCUUUUAUCUAGGAAGAAGAUCUGACGGUACUUGAUGAAUAAGCCACGGCUAAUUCCGUGCCAGCAGCCGCGGUAAUACGGGGGUGGCAAGCGUUAUCCGGAAUUAUUGGGCGUAAAGCGUCCGCAGGCGGUCUUGUAAGUCUGUCGUUAAAGCGUGGAGCUUAACUCCAUUUCAGCGAUGGAAACUGCAAGACUAGAGUGUGGUAGGGGCAGAGGGAAUUCCCGGUGUGGCGGUGAAAUGCGUAGAUAUCGGGAAGAACACCAGUGGCGAAGGCGCUCUGCUGGGCCAUAACUGACGCUCAUGGACGAAAGCCAGGGGAGCGAAAGGGAUUAGAUACCCCUGUAGUC